rnacentral:rRNA from 1 species
CGCCCUUACGGGAGGCAGCAGCAAGGAAUUUUCCCCAAUGGGCGCAAGCUGCAGGGAGCAACGCCGCGUGGAGGACGACGGCCUUCGGGUUGUAAACUCCUUUCGGGUGGGACGACUACGACGGUACCACCAGAAGCAGCCCCGGCUAACUCUGUGCCAGCAGCCGCGGUAAGACAGAGGGGGCAAGCGUUGUCCGGAGUUACUGGGCGUAAAGGGCGCGGAGGCGGUCUGCGGCGUCGGCGCUGAAAGCCCCGCUUAACGGGGCGAGGCGUGCCGAUACGCGCAGACUUGAGGCGAGCAGAGGGUGGUGGAAUUCCGGGUGGAGCGGUGAAAUGCGUAGAGAUCUGGAGGAACGCCAGUGGGGAAGCCGGCCACCUGGGCUCG